GCCUCCUUUGAUCAUCAACAAAUGGGUUAAGAAUAGUAUAUUCAUAGGUUUUAAGGUUACCUCUUAGUGCGUUGAUGGUGUCGUUUGAAACGCCAAUGGAUUCUUAAAUUGCAUCGGCCUUUGAUCUCCAUGCCGGUGUGAGACUUAUAAGAAUUUUUCGAACGAGCUCUCUAUUCGUGAAUGUUUUCUUGAGAGCAUGUAAGUCAUUUA
rnacentral:lncRNA from 1 species